GUCUACAGAGGUGUAAGGAAGGAAUUUGACAGAAGUCCCUCUAGCGGAAAUCACAGUAUCUUGGAUGCAGCCAUCAAACAAGUCCUUCUCUCCACUGUUUCCUUUUGGGAAGGAAACAUGGACUGGGAAUCUCAGGUUGAGAGGCUGCUGAUUCCUUAAGUAUUGUGACAAGAGGAAUCCUCAUCUCCCAGCACUACAGAGUGGCCAGAAUCUGCAGCCAAGUACAGGAAAUCCUGGUUUUCAGUAAAGAUUCAUUUAAUUGUCAUGUUCUACAGAUACAAUGGAUGUUUAUUCUUUUGGAUGAGAAAAGUUGCUGUUAGCCCCCUGACAGGAGGAGACUUCUGGUGGUACAAAGCUUGGGUCCUUGCUCCUGUACUUUUGUUUGACCAGGUGGAAGAGCGCUACCAGAGGCACGCACACGCAAGGAAGGGCAGCCAACAGCACACAAAUGGCCUGUACCCAAGCUGGAUAAACUUUCUCCUCUUUCAUGGGGAAGCCUUCCUGUGGAGAUAAAAAAGCAAGCAAAAGAAAUAAUUCAUAGAUGUACACAACUCCAAUCACUUCAAAGAAAGCGAUGACUAGAAGAGGCACUGAAGCUGCAUAUCUGUCAAAAAUGUCAAUCCAGUAACUCCCCGAACCCAGUGUAAAACACAGAGCAAUGAGGAAGCUAAUUAGACAUAUUAUACCUGAAGAAAAAAAGAUAUCUUUGUUACUGGAGUACUGGUAGGACAGAGUACAUGUACUUAAAAGAGAAAGGAAGAUACCAAUCCUCCUACCUACUACCUCUGUUUAAGGAUUACCUGUUGAAAGCAGUUAUGGUACCUGAUCAAGAAAUUCUUGAAGGUCACAGCUUUUCAGUUUGAGUCCAGCAAUUUUUUCUGGGUAUGAUGAAUUCAAAAAACUAAUCCAGGAUGUAUAGUUCUGUCGCAUGAUGCUUUCUUCUGGAAGAUCAAAUUCAUUGAUGAUAUUGAUAAUGUUCCUGCCAGAGAAGCCAACAUAUUUAAACUUUAGUUUAAAAGUUUGCAGAUGAUGUGGCUGGAAAUGCUAUGCUGUGUAUUCAGAUGCUACACCAAAGUUGUGUUUACUUUCUGUGCUGGUAUUUACAAUGUAAAGGAGAAUAUUAAUUGGCAGCUUAUAUAUAAAACAGAAAAUAUUCAGACUAUUUAAUGUUGUCUCGGACAGAAACUCUGAGUACUUUAUACAGAUGCAGUCUCUAAAACAUUUUUGUUUUAUCAGAUUUCCAGACCAUUUCUACUACUUGUGUUUAAUAAGUUAGUGAAAUAAAUUUCUGGUGAAGUAGAAAAAAGUGGGGAUUUUUACUACUUCUAAUGCUAGCCUGAGAGUAAGGUGCAAGCCUUGGUGCACUACUUGAAGUGGGUUGUUCUGCAAUUUCUCUUGCUUCUUACAAAUGAUCACCCUUGACUCAAUCCCAUAGUACUUUAUAUUUUUACAUUAAACUUCUCCAUACAGGUGCUUUUCCUUCCUAAUAAAAAUAAUUUUCUCAAAUUAAUGUCUUUCAAAUAACACAUUAUCACAUUAUCUAUUUAGGCACUGAAACCACAGUAUAACUUUGGGAACACAGCUUUCUCACCUGUCCAAGCAGUCCCAGUAGGCUGUGGUUGCUUUAAACCCCAACACAGAAAAGACUGGGAUGGAAGCAUAGAGAGAUGUCAUGCUAUUCACAAUUGCUACUGUCACAGCAUCCUUUUCACAGUCAUUUCUAGAGAUAGCAUUCAAACAAGUGAAGUGAUUAAAAAGGCAGGUUUUCUUAUCUGUGAUGCAGUUAUUAAUACAAACAUUUUUUUUAAAUGUCUUCUCUCCCUCCCUCCCCUUCUCUGUUCUGUUAGAAAAUCUAGUGGGCCUUUUAGGAAGACAGAUACUUUUCUAAAGAUCCUUUAGAAAAAUUAAGGGAAACAUUUUGAAAGUUUUAAGAAAUUGCACAAAAUGCAGCAAGAAUUCAGCCAGCUAAUAAAGGUUGUAGUUCUACUCACUUUGUUGGAUUGUAGCUCGCAAAUGCAAUAAGCCCUCCAAAAGCCAAAGAGAGAGAGAAGAAAAUCUGUGUAGCUGCAUCAAGCCAUACACGGGGAUUUUUCAAAGUGUUCAGCUGAAAUAAUUGAAAGAAAUGCAUGUAUUACAUGUAUUAUUACAUGGCUUAAAUUAAAAUUUA